rnacentral:rRNA from 1 species
UGCGUAGGUGGUGAUGCAAGUCUGGUGUGAAAUCUCGGAGCUUAACUCCGAAAUUGCACCGGAUACUGCGUUGCUCGAGGACUGUAGAGGAGAUCGGAAUUCACGGUGUAGCAGUGAAAUGCGUAGAUAUCGUGAGGAAGACCAGUUGCGAAGGCGGAUCUCUGGGCAGUUCCUGACACUGAGGCACGAAGGCCAGGGGGGCAAACG